GACGAACCGUGCGAACGUUGUUCGGAAUCACUGGGCUUAAAGGGCGCGUAGGCGGGCUGUCAAGUCUGGGGUGAAAUCCCACGGCUCAACCGUGGAACUGCCUCAGAUACUGACGGCCUCGAGGAGGGUAGGGGCAUGCGGAACUGUAGGUGGAGCGGUGAAAUGCGUUGAUAUCUACAGGAACUCCGGUGGCGAAAGCGGCGUGCUGGACCUUUUCUGACGCUGAGGCGCGAAAGCUAGGGGAGCAAACGGG
rnacentral:rRNA from 1 species